GGAAACUCAAUUUUACGUCUGUUCGAUGGAACUUCGAGCGCCUUGAAUAAGCGAAGCGAACUUCAAAUCGUGGCAAACUGCGUGAGCGGCUGCCUGACCUGCCUGACCGCAGCUGGGCAAAGACGUGGAUUGUCGCAACCACAUCCGCGUGGUGCAACCGAUACGGGACGGAAGCACGCUCUACAUCUGCGGCACCAACGCCAGGGCGCCCACGGAUUGGCAAAUACAGGCUGCAGACCUCACCCUAGUGCCGGCGGCCAACCAGGUGCCCGUGCUGGGAAUCAACACGUCGAAUGAGGCGCAAGGUCGAUGCCCCAACUACCUCCACCAAAGCUCUCAGACAUUGUGGCUGGACGACGCGCCCUCGAUGGGCAGCUCGUGCGUGGUGGCUCUGACCGUGCUGUCGACAGACCAGUACGGAUUCUUCCGGUUAACGCCGAGAGGAUUUCCCCUGCGCUCCACGGACACGCGCGCCAUUCAG